CUGUAGACGUAAUGAAAUUGUUAAUUAAAACUAAAUGGAACAAAUAAGUGCAUCAAAUGCAUCACAAUCGGAGAUCGUAUAAAAGGAGACGAGAUUUGAGGCAAAAAGUCAGUCAGCAAUUGUUUGCAGUCAAUAUCUAAAUAUGAAACUAUUCGCAAUCUUGGUCACCUUGUGCAUUAUUGGCGCCGCUUUUGCCAACAAGGGAGCAGCUGACGCUGCUAAUGCUAAUGACGAUGAUGCAGCCAACGAUGAUGCGGAUGCCUAAUUCAUUCAUUCGAAAUCGGUAAUUUUUUUGGGAUAUGCCCUUCAAACUAAUUGGCUUUAAAUAACUAUGGACCACUUAAGCAAAAAAAAAAAAAAAAAAAAAAAUAAAUAAACUUUUAUAGUUCAAAAAA